GUUCAUCGGCUUAUGAACAGUUCCUGCUCGAGCCGAGCCUUAAUGUGAAAAGUCUAUUUUACCCCUGCCUCCUGUCUCUUGCAUCGACACCUGUACGGCAGCUCAGUGCUAUCGUGUCUCUGCUUCUUCGCUCCAGAGAGAGAGCGAGGAAAGUGGUGUUGUUCGUUACCAUUUACUACAACUCCGAUUCCAUCUUCCUUGCUACGACGUUCCUUUUGUCCUCCGAUUAGUCGCUAGCUCAGAGUUGCACAACUGCUGUUUUACCCGCAUCUGAGGACUCUUGGGAACAUCAGCUCCUCCGGUGCAAGUGAUUUGUGGGUAAUUUGUUUUAUGCUAGGAUCUAUUCUUCGUCAAAUUUCUGUGUUUUGUCAUUGGCAGAGAGUAUAAGAGAGGGAGAAAGUUGCUAAUAAUAGGUUCUGCAUGUCAUAAUUGUGGUUUAUGAUUGUCAUAUUGGUUUUGUCAUCAAGGAGGAGAAGGAAGGUGAUUUUUGGAUUUGUGUUGAGGAAAGCAGGAGAGCUGCAGCAAGCUAUUGGAUUUGAUUCUGCAUGUUGGAUCUCUGCAAUCUACUAAUUGAUUUGGGGUAGGAGAGGCAGAGUGAUUGUGGAGGAAAUGGAAGAAGAAUUGACAGCGAAAGAUUAACGGGCUGCAUCAUAUUUUUUUGUGGAUAGAGAUAUUCUUUGGAGGCUCUACAAAGAAUACGACUUUGGAGAGGAGAGGAAUCUUUCUUACUUGAAAGAAGGAGAAGGAAGAAGAGAGGAGCUUUUCUUUGCUUGAAAGAAACGAAGUGGAAGAACAAGAAGAAAGAAAGAAGGUGAGGGAAGUGGGGAUUUUGAAGAAGAAUCCCGAGAUCUUGAAGGAGCAGAUUCAUAAGUUGAAUAAGCAAACAAAAACUGGAAAGACAAAGAUUAUGAGACUUCUACGAGAUGAUAAUACAAAAGAUCAAGAUACUCAAAGACAGGCAGAGAGAAUUGAUAUGGACACACAUUCUCAGAUUAUAUCAAGAAAGCGGAAACAAGACUUUGUUUACUCUACAGUUUCGGAUCUGAACAACUUGGUGCAAUAUACACAGGGUCCACUGUAGACAGUUGAAUCAUGGAAGUAAAUUCCUUUCAAAAAUAUCAAUCUAUGAACAAUGUCAACAAUAUUGAAAUGAAGUGCCUUCACGACUUAUACCUUCUCUUCGAAUACAAUUUCCCUCUCAUUUUCAGCCUGAACAAAACAUAGAGCAUACAUUGCUUCGUCACAUAAGACCGUAUCAAAUUACUUUCAAAAUCAGAGUUCGUGCAUCCAGACUGUGGAGACCGAAAAAGUAUAACAGUGACUUAUACGAUGGCCUCCAUUAUCUGUUAGUCGACCAAGA